AAGCAACGCUGCGGCAGGCUCCAGAUGUGUACGGACGGAUCCUUCGGGCAUUAGUGGUAGACGGGUGAGUAACACGUGGGAACGUGCCCUUUGGUACGGAACAACUCAGUGAAAACUUGAGCUAAUACCGGAUGUAGCCCUAUCGGGGGAAAGAUUUAUCGCCAUUGGAGCGGCCCGCGUCUGAUUAGCUAGUUGGUGGGGUAAAGGCCCACCAAGGCGACGAUCAGUAGCUGGUCUGAGAGGAUGAUCAGCCACAUUGGGACUGAGACACGGGCCAAACUCCUACUGGAGGCAGCAGUGGGGACUCUUGCGCAAUGGGCGAAAGCCUGACGCAACCAUGCCGAGUGAAUGAUAGAAGGUCUAUAAGAUUGUAAAAUACUAUCACCGGGGACGAUAAUGACGGUACCCGGAGAAGAAACCACAGACAAAUUCAGUACCAAGCAACCGAGGAAAUACCAACGGGGCUAGCAUUAACGGAAAUACUGGGCGUAAUGGAACCGUAGGGGGAAUGUUUCGUAAUAGGGUGCACAGCCCAGGGA
rnacentral:rRNA from 1 species